ACCGAAGCUCGUAUCCGCCUCCGGGCGUGACGGGCGGCUGGUAUCCUCCUUCUGAGGAGUACAUGGCGCAGCGUGGGCAGGCCUUCGGGUCAUGAAUUCCCAACGUUGCGGCGGACCACUCCUUGGGCAACUCAGUGGGGGCAAUUGGAUAGUCCGUGGGCACCUUUGGCGGCUUUGGCCCUGGAGGUGGCCCGGGCUGGGCGUUGGGCUUCGGUCCAUGCCCUGACCUCUUAACCAAAUCCGACCCCUCUUCACGGAGGGUUGCCGGUGGUCCCUUCGCCCUUCCAGGGCGGAGUAGCUUCCCGGUGAAGAUAGUUACCUGGUUGAUUCUGCCAGUAGUCAUAUGCUUGUCUCAA
rnacentral:misc_RNA from 1 species